rnacentral:rRNA from 1 species
GGAUUAGAUACCCUGGUAGUCCUAGCUGUAAACGAUGGAUACUAGACGUAGGAACUGGAUUGACGGUUUCUGUGUCGCAGCUAACGCAUUAAGCACACCGCCUGGGGAGUACGACCGCAAGGUUAAAACUCAAAUGAAUUGACGGGGACCCGCACAAGCAGUGGAGCAUGUGGUUUAAUUCGAAGAUACGCGCAGAACCUUACCAACGCUUGACAUGUUCGUCGCGAGACUAAGAGAUUAAAGUUUUCGGUUCGGCCGGACGAAACACAGGUGCUGCAUGGCUGUCGUCAGCUCGUGCCG